GACGAACGCUGGCGGCGUGCUUAACACAUGCAAGUCGAACGGAAAGGCCUCGUUCGGGGGGUGCUCGAGUGGCGAACGGGUGAGUAACACGUGAGUAACCUGCCCUUGACUUUGGGAUAACUUCAGAAAACUGGGGCUAAUACCGGAUAGUAGCUCCUGCGGCAUGGGGGGGGUUGGGGAGUUUCGGCGGUUGGGGGGUGACUCGCGGGUUAUCAGCGUUUUUGGGGGGUAGUGGGUUACCAAGGCUUUGACGGGUAGCCGGCCUGAGAGGGUGAGCCGCCACACUGGGACCGAGGGAAGGCCCCGGCUCCGACGGGAGGAAGAAGGGGGGAAGACUGAACAAUGGGUGGAAGGCUGAUGCAGCAACGCCGCGGGCGGGAUGACGGCCUUCGGGUUGUAAACCGCCUUCGCUCUUGACGAAGGCUUGUGUGACGGUAGUGGGUAAAGAAGCACCGGCUAACUACGUG
rnacentral:rRNA from 1 species